AGUGGCGGACGGGUGAGUAACGCGUGGGUAACCUGCCUCAUACAGGGGGAUAACAGUUAGAAAUGACUGCUAAUACCGCAUAAGACCACAGCACCGCAUAGUGCAGGGGUAAAAACUCCGGUGGUAUGAGAUGGACCCGCGUCUGAUUAGGUAGUUGGUGGGGUAACGGCCUACCAAGCCGACGAUCAGUAGCCGACCUGAGAGGGUGACCGGCCACAUUGGGACUGAGACACGGCCCAA
rnacentral:rRNA from 1 species